GAUGAACGCUGGCGGCGUGCUUAACACAUGCAAGUCGAACGAAACACCUUAUUUGAUUUUCUUCGUAACUGAAGAUUUGGUGAUUGAGUGGCGGACGGGUGAGUAACGCGUGGGUAACCUGCCCUGUACAGGGGGAUAACAGUCAGAAAUGACUGCUAAUACCGCAUAAGACCACAGCACCGCAUGGUGCAGGGGUAAAAACUCCGGUGGUACAGGAUGGACCCGCGUCUGAUUAGCUGGUUGGUGAGGUAACGGCUCACCAAGGCGACGAUCAGUAGCCGGCUGGAGAGAGUGAACGGCCACAUUGGGACUGAGACACGGCCCAAACUCCUACGGGAGGCAGCAGUGGGGAAUAUUGCACAAUGGGGGAAACCCUGAUGCAGCAACGCCGCGUGAGUGAAGAAGUAUUUCGGUAUGUAAAGCUCUAUCAGCAGGGAAGAAAAUGACGGUACCUGAAUAAGAAGCCCCGGCUAACUACGUG
rnacentral:rRNA from 1 species